rnacentral:rRNA from 1 species
GCUCAGAUUGAACGCUGGCGGCAUGCCUAACACAUGCAAGUCGAACGAUGAAGAAACAGCUUGCUGUUUCGGAUUAGUGGCGGACGGGUGAGUAAAGUAUAGGGAUCUGCCUGACAGUGGGGGACAACAGCCGGAAACGGCUGCUAAUACCGCAUACGCUCUACGGAGGAAAGUGGGGGACCUUCGGGCCUCACGCUGACAGAUGAACCUAUAUCAGAUUAGCUAGUUGGUGGGGUAAGGGCCUACCAAGGCGACGAUCUGUAGCUGGUCUGAGAGGAUGAUCAGCCACACUGGGACUGAGACACGGCCCAGACUCCUACGGGAGGCAGCAGUGGGGAAUAUUGGACAAUGGGGGCAACCCUGAUCCAGCAAUGCCGCGUGUGUGAAGAAGGCCUUCGGGUUGUAAAGCACUUUCAUUGAGGAGGAAAAGCUAUGCGUUAAUAGCGUAUAGCCGUGACGUUACUCAAAGAAGAAGCACCGGCUAACUCCGUGCCAGCAGCCGCGGUAAUACGGAGGGUGCGAGCGUUAAUCGGAAUUACUGGGCGUAAAGCGCGCGUAGGCGGUUUGCUAAGUCAGAUGUGAAAUCCCCGGGCUUAACCUGGGAACUGCAUUUGAGACUGGUAGGCUAGAGUGUGGUAGAGGUGAGUGGAAUUUCAGGUGUAGCGGUGAAAUGCGUAGAGAUCUGAAGGAACAUCAGUGGCGAAGGCGAUCUCACUGGGCCAUUACUGACG